UCCCCGGGUUGGGAAUUUCAGCGUUUUGGGGUCCCCGGGGGUUUGGGACCCCCAGUUCGGGGGUUUUGGGGUUGGGGGGUCCCCAGGGGUCUGGAGAUUUUGGGGUUGGGGGAAUCCCCAGUUUGGGGAUUUCAGAGUUUGGGGGUCCCCAGGGGUUUGGGACCCCCAGCUUGGGGAUUUUGGGGUUGGGGGAUCCCCGGGUUGGGGAUUUUGAGGUUCAGGGCUAUCCAGUUUUGGGAUUUGGGGCUUUGGGGGAUCCCCAGUUUGGGAAUUUCAGCGUUUUGGGGUCCCCGGGGGUUUGGGACACCACUUCGGGGGUUUUGGGGUUCGGGGGUCCCCAGGAGUUUAGGGGUCCCCAGUUCGGGGGUUUGGGGCUUUGGGGACCCCCAGUUUGGAGAUUUUGAGGUUUCGGGGGAUCCCCAGUUUGGGGAUUUCAGAGUUUUGGGGUCUUUGGGGUUUGAGGGUCCCCAGUUUGGGGAUUUUGGGGUUUGGGGGUCCCCGGUUGGGGAUUUUGGGGUUUGGGAUCCCCGGGUUAGCGGUUUUGGGGUCCCCAGUUUGGGGAUUUUGAGGUUCGGGGUCCCCAGUUUGGGGAUUUUGGGGUUCGGGGGUCCCCAGUUUGGGGAUUUGGGGAUUUGGGGUCCCCGGUUUGGGGAUUUUGGGGUUUGGGACCCCCAGUCUGGGGAUUUUGGGGUUUGGGACCCCCAGUUUGGGGUUCGGGGGAGCCUCAGUUUGGGGAUUUUGUGGUUUGGCGUCCCGGGGUUGGGGAUUUUGGGGGUUCAGGGGUCCCCAGGGGUUUGGGGAUUUUGGGUUUUGGGGUCCCCAGUUUGGGGAUUUUGGGGUUUGGGGACCCCCAGUUUGGGGUUUGGGGGUCCCCGGGAUGGGGAUUUUGGGGUUUUGGACCCCCAGUUUGGGGAUUUUGGGGUUCGGGGGUCCCCAGUUUGGGGGUACCCAGGGGUGCGGGACCCCCCAAAUGUGGGACGGGGUUUGGGGGUCCCCAGGGGCCCCGGGGAGACUUUUGGGGUGCGGCCGUGA
rnacentral:lncRNA from 1 species